rnacentral:rRNA from 1 species
UAUGGUUGUGUGCCAGCAGCCGCGGUAAUACGUAGGUGGCAAGCGUUGUCCGGAAUUAUUGGGCGUAAAGCGCGCGCAGGCGGCUUCUUAAGUCCAUCUUAAAAGUGCGGGGCUUAACCCCGUGAUGGGAUGGAAACUGGGAGGCUGGAGUAUCGGAGAGGAAAGUGGAAUUCCUAGUGUAGCGGUGAAAUGCGUAGAGAUUAGGAAGAACACCGGUGGCGAAGGCGACUUUCUGGACGACAACUGACGCUGAGGCGCGAAAGCGUGGGGAGCAAACAGG